rnacentral:lncRNA from 1 species
UUUAUAGGAGUUAAUAUGGCGGAAUACGAAAUAGAGCCACUAAAAGUGCUCUAGCUUUUUAUGUAUCCAAGCAAAACUCAUGAUACUUUGAAAUAUCAUAAAGAAGAGGUUGUUCUUUGAUUUAAUUGUUACUAUGAGGAUGAGAAACGAAUUUAAGCGUGGAAUUUGGCCAUUGUCAUACAUAGAUUAAUUUCACGUCGGUCUUUGGCGAAUAGUGAUAAACAUAUAAAGUUAUAUAGCUUAUGUGUGGUUAGUCCGAUCGCCGUAAAAUAUGUUUUGAGUGAUAGGUUGGUGAUAUUUCAUGGUGUACAAAAGGAUUAAGGACGUGAAUGCCAUGAACAAUGAAGGAAAUAAAUCGAGUUCAUCGAACCUUCUGUGAAUCUGGGAUCACCUAUUCAAUACAGUGUAAUUCAACUUGGCAUAUUGGCCUACAAUCGUUUAAUAUAAAAUAAUAUUGCGAUAUGAAAGAAAUUGCUGGACCUACUUCUUCAAAAAUGAAUUUUGGGGAUAAUAUAUUGACUUGAACCUAUUGAAAUCCUUUGGCUGUGACUUUACAAAUUUGGUAUCACAAGUGACAAGGCCUCCUAUGACAUUAUCAUGACUGUUCAUUGAUAUUGAAAAAAUAGUUUAAAGAUCAAUGCUUGGAUGAAUCAGGGAACUUCAUUUACAAAACAGACAAUAAGAGACCUGAUUUAUCUUAACGACAGUUUAAAUUAUAAAUCUGUGAGAUUCUAAUAUACACUCUAGUUUUUAAGAUACAUAUUAACAGUUUACUCUACAAUGAGGGGAAAAUAAUCUGAAUAUGAGAAUUUUCUCUGUUUCAAGUUUAUGUUACAUUUAGCACCAAGUAUAUUAUUGUUGCUAUCACCUUAGGGGCUGUUUACAUGAGCCCGGCUAGCCAUGCAGGCUGGCCCGGUUAACCAGGCUGAAGGCCUGGCUAGCCAGGAGGUUACCUGAGCUGGUGACUUUACAUGGAGAAAUUUGAAGCCCGGUUAUCCGGGCAUCCCAUUUGACUCAAGUGAGAUCUCGGCUAGGCAGAUUCCUGUUAAAUGAUUUGUAUUAAGCUGGGUGCCUCGCUUAACAGGACUAGUCGGGCUCAUGUAAAUAGCCCCUUAGUUAUUAAGACUUGUUGGCAGAGUAAAAUAUAUCAGGCAAUAAAACUGGUUUCAACUUGCAACAAAUCAGAUGUUGGUGCAUGUAAGUUGUAGUGUUGUUUUUACAAAGGGAACCAAGUAAAUGAAACUUUAACAUCUAGUGUAUUCUACUGAGUACAAGUUGUACAACUCCAAAAAUGUAAACAACACUUUGAUUUGAUUUUAGUUCCAUAAAUCCAUAUUUUUUAUCCAUAUUAUCAAUCCAUAUUUAAUUUGAUUUUAGUUCCAUAAAUCCAUAUAAUUUAGUUCCAUAAAUUUGAGUUUAGAUCCAUAAAUCUAUUAAGAUCUGCAACUGUCCUACAUGCACAAAUGCCAUCCAAUGUAAUAAACUAGAUGAUAACAGGAAGCAGUUUUGUUUCUUUAAGGACUUUGAUCAAACAGAAAACACAUUUGAAGGUCUUCAUGUUCCAACAAAUUGCUUUCUGGACUACAUCAAGGAAGAUACAAAAAUUGUUUUUGAGGUUGUGCAUUUACUACAGCUUGAAAUUUGCCAAUUGUGAACUUUCCAACACUAAAAAGAAGAACAGAAAAUAUUUGAAGGUAGCACAUCUUUAAAGGCACAGUUCAGCCUUUUGAACGAUGGUUUUUAAGGCGCAUUUCAGCCCUUUUAAUUGAAAAAACUAACUAGGAAAAUCAAUUAAGUAUAAUUCAAAAUCAGUAAACUUGAUGCUUUAACAAUAAAAAUGUUUUAAAAUGUUAAAAACAUCG